GGUCUAUAGAGAUAGAUCUUAAAAGGAUGUUUGAUUUUUACGGACAAGUACAUAAAAGAGGUGCUGAAAGGGUUCAGCAUUGAAACCUCCAAGAAGGAUCCGUUAUCCUCUUAGGCAUGGAUGUAUGUCAAGCUAUGUACUCGACUUGGUAUAUCUUGCUGUGAAAAUCACGAGCAGAUAUUAGUCAAAUUCAGGCUGGGAGCAUUGGAUUGCUGUGAAAAUAUCCCAAGUACUUGAAAAAUACUAAGGGAUCAUUCUUCGUCUUUGAAGAAGGGUUAGAGUUGAGAGUGGG
rnacentral:lncRNA from 1 species